CCUGCCUCGGUCUCCCAAAGUGCAGGGAUUACAGAUUCUCGAUAGUCAGACUGGGCAUGAGUUCAAGGAACCAGCAAAACACUGGCACAGAAAAAAAGAGAAAGAGAAAUUAGAAUAAAGAUAAUUCCAGCACCCAUUUAAACUUUAUGCUACCUCAAAAGUUUGAGGCAGCCCUCAGCCCUGCUUUAGUGGAACAUGCUUGGGUGAAUGCUGAUGAAUCCACAAGGAUUGCUUUAGUACCACCGUCUCUGGUGCAGGAGCAAGCAUUCUGCUUUUCACCGCAAGAUUCAACAUCAGAAGAGUAAUAGUCAUACCAGUAGCACUGCCAUCUCACACCAACUCUGUGUCUACACAGGCUGUUGAACCAGCACUGAGGUACCAGUAGUUGAAAGGCAUCUCUGAGCAAUGUGCAAGGCUGCCAUGUAAGAAAAACAAUUAACAUUUUCUUCUACCAAAAGGUUUACUGUAAGCUACUAACCUUGGUUUUGUUAUGUUUUCAGUAAAAGUUAUCAGUUUGGUACCCUUUUGAAAAGAUAAUAGUAUAACACAAGAAAAUCUACACAGGGUAUAUUCAGGAAUGAGUACAGAAGGACUGUCACUGCAUUUACUGUUAAACUCUAUGAGGCAGGUACUCUUAUUAGACACAUUUUGCAGAUGAGAAAACUGAAGCUAACGCACCUCAAUGUCUCACUGCUGGUACAUCACAGAGUUAGGACUUGAACUCAGGCAGUAAGAGUUGAGAGAUCACUCUCUUA
rnacentral:lncRNA from 13 species